CCAAACCUGGUUGAUCCUGCCAGUAGUCAUAUGCUUGUCUCAAAGAUUAAGCCAUGCAUGUCUAAGUAUAAACAACUUUAUACUGUGAAACUGCGAACGGCUCAUUAUAUCAGCAAUAAUUUAUUUGAUGGUACCUUACUACAUGGAUAACUGUGGUAAUUCUAGAGCUAAUACAUGCGUAUAGUCCCAACUCUC
rnacentral:rRNA from 1 species